AGUGGGAGCUGGCUUGCCUGCGAUAGCGGUGUAUCAGUGAAAUAUGUAUCAACUGACAGAAUGCAAUCGCAGGCAAGCCAGCUCCCACA
rnacentral:misc_RNA from 1 species